rnacentral:rRNA from 1 species
GACGUAGGGCGCGAGCGUUGUCCGGAUUUAUUGGGCGUAAAGAGCUCGUAGGCGGCUCGUUGCGUCGGCUGUGAAAACCCGCAGCUCAACUGUGGGCUUGCAGCCGAUACGGGCGGGCUGGGAUUCGGUAGGGGAGACUGGAAUUCCUGGUGUAGCGGUGAAAUGCGCAGAUAUCAGGAGGAACACCGGUGGCGAAGGCGGGUCUCUGGGCCGAUAUCGACGCUCAGGCGCGAAAGCUAGGGGAGCGAACAGG